GAUGAACGCUGGCGGCGUGCCUAAUACAUGCAAGUCGAGCGAACGGACGAGAAGCUUGCUUCUCUGAUGUUAGCGGCGGACGGGUGAGUAACACGUGGAUAACCUACCUAUAAGACUGGGAUAACUUCGGGAAACCGGAGCUAAUACCGGAUGAUAUUUUGAACCGCAUGGUUCAAAAGUGAAAGACGGUCUUGCUGUCACUUAUAGAUGGAUCCGCGCUGCAUUAGCUAGUUGGUAAGGUAACGGCUUACCAAGGCAACGAUGCAUAGCCGACCUGAGAGGGUGAUCGGCCACACUGGACCUGAGACACGGUCCAGACUCCUACGGGAGGCAGCAGUAGGGAAUCUUCCGCAAUGGGCGAAAGCCUGACGGAGCAACGCCGCGUGAGUGAUGAAGGUCUUCGGAUCGUAAAACUCUGUUAUUAGGGAAGAACAUAUGUGUAAGUAACUGUGCACAUCUUGACGGUACCUAAUCAGAAAGCCACGGCCAACUACGU
rnacentral:rRNA from 1 species